rnacentral:rRNA from 1 species
UACGUAGGGUGCGAGCGUUAAUCGGAAUUACUGGGCGUAAAGCGUGCGCAGGCGGUUUUGUAAGCCAGAUGUGAAAUCCCCGGGCUUAACCUGGGAAUGGCAUUUGGGACUGCAAGGCUCGAGUGCGGCAGAGGAGACUGGAAUUCCUGGUGUAGCAGUGAAAUGCGUAGAUAUCAGGAGGAACAUCAGUGGCGAAAGCGGCACCCUGGCAUUAGCCUGACGCUCAUGUGCGAAAGCGUGGGGAGCGAACGGG